rnacentral:rRNA from 1 species
AUGAAGCGAGAAGUCGACGCGCCGAUCUCUCGGCGUCCGGCCCUCCGCAAGCGCCCGCGGGAGUUCGGGUUCCGGACCCGGUCCGAUCCCGUUCCCUCCGUGGGGCUGUUUGCGAUCAGGAGGUGACCUCGGACGGCGUCGUUUUUCUCCAGUCCGCGACGCUACGGCUUGGAUGGCCUACCCGACCCGUCUUGAAACACGGACCAAGGAGUCUAACAUGCGCGCGAGUCGUUGGGUCGGACGCGCUCCGCUAAACCCAUAGGCGAAAUGAAAGUGAAGGCCCCUCUUGGGUGCCGAGGGAGGACGGAGCGGGUCCCCUAGCGGGACGGCUCCCGCACUCCCGGGGCGUCUGAUUCCUCAUUGCGAGGGAAGGCGCACCCAGAGCGCACACGUUGGGACCCGAAAGAUGGUGAACUAUGCCUGGCCAGGACGAAGUCAGGGGAAACCCUGAUGGAGGUCCGUAGCGAUUCUGACGUGCAAAUCGAUCGUCGGAGCUGGGGAUAGGGGCGAAAGACUAAUCGAACCAUCUAGUAGCUGGUUCCCUCCGAAGUUUCCCUCAGGAUAGCUUGCGCUCGGAGGAGAGUCUCAUCCGGUAAAGCGAAUGAUUAGAGGCCUUGGGGCCGAAACGGCUUCAACCUAUUCUCAAACUUUAAAUGGGUGAGAACUCCGGCUUGCUCGAUUAAUUUUAUGAAGCCGGAGUCGGGGCCACGAGCCCCCAGGAUCGGAGUGCAUAGUGGGCCACUUUUGGUAAGCAGAACUGGCGCUGUGGGAUGAACCAAACGACGGGUUAAGGCGCCCGAAUCGACGCUCAUGGGAAACCAUGAAAGGUGUUGGUUGCUUAAGACAGCAGGACGGUGGCCAUGGAAGUCGGAAUCCGCUAAGGAGUGUGUAACAACUCACCUGCCGAAGCAACUAGCCCUGAAAAUGGAUGGCGCUGAAGCGUCGUGCCUAUACCCGGCCGUCGCGGCAGGGCGGGCCCCGUGAGGGGUGCCGCUUGAUGCGGCGACGAGUAGGAGGGUCGCGGCGGCGUGCGCAGAAGGGUCUGGGCUCGAGCCUACCUGGAGCCGCCGCCGGUGCAGAUCUUGGUGGUAGUAGCAAAUACUCCAGCGAGGCCCUGGAGGACUGAUGUGGAGAAGGGUUUCGUGUGAACAGCCGUUGCACACGAGUCAGUCGAUCCUAAGCCCUAGGAGAAAUCCGAUACCAACGGCGAUGGGACGAAACAAACUCACGAGAAAACAGCCCAUUGAUCGGGCGAAAGGGAAUCCGGUUCCUAUUCCGGAACCCGGCAGCGGAACCGCUGUUUGUCGGGCCCUCACAAGGGGUUCGUCAGGGUAACCUAAAAGGGCCCGGAGACGCCGUCGGGAGCCCCGGAAAGAGUUUUCUUUUCUGCAUGAGCGUUCGAGUUCCCUG